rnacentral:misc_RNA from 1 species
AAAAAAAACUCCUUUUAUUUCAUUAAACAGUAAAACAUACGUCACAAACAUCGUAAUCUCUAUCAUCAACAUACCUAAACUACAAGCAUUACUAUUAUUAUGGUUACAGAACUACAAGCAUUAUUUGGAAUUUGCUUAACCACAAGCUGAAACAGAACAGAGAACAGAGAACAGAACAAACCCCAUUUUUUUCAAGCCUCAAUCCACCUCUUCAAUCUUUGGCCCUGCUCCAGAACCACCAGAGCUAGAAGGGCCAUACCCACUUCCGGGCUGAGCACCGCCGCCCAUUGGCACAUCUUCACCACCACCACCUUGAUACAUCUUUGAAAUAAUUGGAUUGCACAAGCCCUCUAAUUCCUUCAAUUUGUCUUCAAAUUCAUCCACCUCUGCCAGUUGGUUCCCGUCAAGCCAUUCAAUUGUCUCAUCAAUGGCCUUCUCAAUCUUCUGCUUGUCUGCUGGAUUCAGUUUACCUGCAAUUUUCUCAUCCUUCACCGUAUUUCUCAUAUUAUAAGCGUAAUUCUCUAGCUUGUUCUUGGCUUCCACCUUCUUCUUCACUUCCUCAUCCUCUGCCUUGUACUUCUCUGCUUCUUGCACCAUUCUCUCAAUCUCUUCCUUGCUUAAUCUUCCCUUGUCAUUGGUGAUUGUAAUCUUGUUCUUCACUCCUGCAGUUUUAUCCUCCGCAGACACAUUCAAUAUACCAUUUGCAUCAAUAUCGAAGCAUACACUAAUCUGGGGAACACCUCUUGGAGCCGGAGGUAUGCCCUUAAGCUCAAAUGUGCCGAGAAGAUUGUUGUCCUUGGUUCUAGCUCUUUCACCUUCAUA